AAAGGGGACUGGUGAAUGUCUCAGUACCCAGGACCAGGUGGGUCUCCAGCCUGGUUUCUUCAGCCUGGUUUCUGCCCACAUAUUCAACUGUGACAUAUAUCUAAAGAAGCACCCAGGAAUCAAAUCCGAGUUCGUCUACAGCUGAUUCGGCAGGUACCAGGGCGUCCGCGAUGGUGAGUGAUAGCACCGCGAUGGUGGUAUUGCUCCAUAUGCCUGAGACCCUAACAAAAGCCUAAUUACAACUCAUAUGCCUGGAGCCAGGACAUGUGCAGGAUGCCAUGAUGGUCCAAGUUAUAUUGGGAUUCAGCCAAUAGAAGAUAUUUUGCCUGUCAUCCCUAAGCUUAGGACAAUAGGGUCCUGCCCACAAGAAAGAUUGUGACAUCUCACUGGACAAGCACCCACCCAGACUCUGCCAAGAGAGGGGAUUAUUACAUAUUGCAGAGCCCAGCACCUAGGUGGAGUGACUCUCAUCUUUUUCUUCUACCCCGUAUAUAGCCAGCUUGGUGACCUACUAUUUGAGUCUAUACCCAGGCCCAGACCACAGAUGAAAUUGUGCAAUAUGUGGAACAAACACCUAAACAAUAUAUAACACCUUCCUUGGCUCUGUCUACAAAGGGCACUUUUAUAUAUCACUGGGACCAUCAACCAGGUGAUGUUAAUUAUCUUCCUGAAACCUGUCUACAAAGAGAGUUGUGUCGUAUACCUAGGCCCGUCAUGUAAGUGAUGUCAGUCCCUUCUACUGCCUUGGCCCUGCACUUACAGUGCAUUGUGACACAUAACAAGGUACUGCACACAGACGAUGUGAUUCUCCUUUUUGGGUUCUGCCAAAAGGAAGCAUUGUAAUAAAUCGCUUGGCUCA
rnacentral:lncRNA from 1 species